ACCCUGGCCGGUGCAGCUGGUUCGCCCUGUCCGCCAGACAGGCGCGUCGUAAGAGGGAACCCGGUGGGAAUCCGGGACUGCCCCGCAGCGGUGAGCGGGAACGACCGCCGUCAUACGCACUGGAUCCGGACGGAUCCGGGAAGCGACGGCCAGUAGGUGUCUGCCCCAGGCAGACGUGCCCGCGAGUCCGAAGACCUGCCUGUUGCCCGUACGCGAC
rnacentral:ncRNA from 2 species